rnacentral:rRNA from 1 species
CCUACGGGAGGCAGCAGUAAGGAAUAUUGCGCAAUGGGGGCAACCCUGACGCAGCAACGCCGCGUGGGCGACGAAGGCCUUCGGGUUGUAAAGCCCUUUUCGGAGGGACGAGUAAGGACGGUACCUCCGGAACAAGUCUCGGCUAACUACGUGCCAGCAGCCGCGGUAAAACGUAGGAGGCAAGCGUUGUUCGGAAUUAUUGGGCGUAAAGCGCGUGUAGGCGGUUUGUUAAGUCUGAUGUGAAAGCCCCGGGCUCAACCUGGGAAGUGCAUUGGAUACUGGCAGACUUGAGUACGGGAGAGGAGAGUGGAAUUCCCAGUGUAGGAGUAAAAUCCGUAGAUAUUGGGAGGAACACCGGUGGCGAAGGCGGCUCUCUGGACCGAUACUGACGCUGAGACGCGAAAGCGUGGGGAGCAAACAGGAUUAGAUACCCCUGUAGU